rnacentral:rRNA from 1 species
GAUGAACGCUGGCGGCGUGCCUAAUACAUGCAAGUCGAGAGAAUGGAUUAAGAGCUUGCUCUUAUGAAGUUAGCGGCGGACGGGUGAGUAACACGUGGGUAACCUGCCCAUAAGACUGGGAUAACUCCGGGAAACCGGGGCUAAUACCGGAUAACAUUUUGAACCGCAUGGUUCGAAAUUGAAAGGCGGCUUCGGCUGUCACUUAUGGAUGGACCCGCGUCGCAUUCGCUAGUUAGUGAGGUAACGGCUCACCAAGGCUACGAAGCGUAGCCGACCUGAGAGGGUGAUCGGCCACACUGGGACUGAGACACUGCCCAGACUCCUACGGGAGGCAGCAGUAGGGAAUCUUCCGUAAUGGACGAAAGUCUGACGGAGCAACGCCGCGUGAGUGAUGGAGGCUUUCGGGUCGUAAAACUCUGUUGUUAGGGAAGAACAAGUGCUAGUUGAAUAAGCUGGCACCUUGACGGUACCUAACCAGAAAGCCACGGCUAACUACGUGCCAGCCGCCGCAGUAA